rnacentral:rRNA from 1 species
CAGUACCGUGAGGGAAAGGUGAAAAGCACCCCGGAAGGGGAGUGAAAUAGAACCUGAAACCGUGUGCUUACAAGUAGUCAGAGCCCGUUAAUGGGUGAUGGCGUGCCUUUUGUAGAAUGAACCGGCGAGUUACGAUUUGAUGCAAGGUUAAGCAGUAAAUGUGGAGCCGUAGCGAAAGCGAGUCUGAAUAGGGCGUUUAGUAUUUGGUCGUAGACCCGAAACCAGGUGAUCUACCCUUGGUCAGGUUGAAGUUCAGGUAACACUGAAUGGAGGACCGAACCGACUUACGUUGAAAAGUGAGCGGAUGAACUGAGGGUAGCGGAGAAAUUCCAAUCGAACCUGGAGAUAGCUGGUUCUCUCCGAAAUAGCUUUAGGGCUAGCCUCAAGUGAUGAUUAUUGGAGGUAGAGCACUGUUUGGACGAGGGGCCCCUCUCGGGUUACCGAAUUCAGACAAACUCCGAAUGCCAAUUAAUUUAACUUGGGAGUCAGAACAUGGGUGAUAAGGUCCGUGUUCGAAAGGGAAACAGCCCAGACCACCAGCUAAGGUCCCAAAAUAUAUGUUAAGUGGAAAAGGAUGUGGCGUUGCCCAGACAACUAGGAUGUUGGCUUAGAAGCAGCCAUCAUUUAAAGAGUGCGUAAUAGCUCACUAGUCGAGUGACACUGCGCCGAAAAUGUACCGGGGCUAAACAUA